CCUACGGGAGGCAGCAGUGGGGAAUAUUGCACAAUGGGGGAAACCCUGAUGCAGCGACGCCGCGUGAAUGAAGAAGGAAUUCGGUAUGUAAAGCUCUAUCAGCAGGGAAGAAAAUGACGGUACCUGACGAAUAAGCCCCGGCUAACUACGUGCCAGCAGCCGCGGUAAUACGUAGGGGGCAAGCGUUAUCCGGAUUUACUGGGUGUAAAGGGAGCGUAGACGGGAGGGCAAGUCUGGUGUGAAAGGCGAGGGCUCAACCACCGGACUGCUCUGGAAACUGUACGGCUGGAGUGCGGGAGAGGUAAGUGGAAUUCCUAGUGUAGGGGUGAAAUGCGUAGAGAUUAGGAGGAACACCAGUGGCGAAGGCGGCUUACUGGAACGUAACUGACGCUGAGGCUCGAAAGCGUGGGGAGCAAACAGGAUUAGAUACCCGAGUAGUC
rnacentral:rRNA from 1 species